rnacentral:misc_RNA from 1 species
AGCUCUAGAUCCUCGCUCAUAGAUCUGUUGCAUGGUUUAUUGGAAUAUGAGCCAUCUGAACGUCUAACAGCUAACCAAGCUCUUAAUCAUCAGUUUUUUAAGAUUCCAACUUAAGGAACCUCACCAUGAGCCAUGAGGACAUCAAUUGUUUACUCUUGCUCAGACCAUGGGUCGUGCAGAUCACUUGUUUUUGUACAAAUAUGAAUUUAAUGUAAGUAUUCCUUUUAUGCGAGAGGAGUUUUUCCUUGGCCAAGUUGAAACAGGUCCAUGACAUUGCUACCUUUGUGCAAUAGUAAUAAAUCUCAUUAUACUCCUAACUAGCUGUUGAAAUAUAAUAAGAUUUAUUACUAUUGCACAAAGGUAGCA